UACGUAGGUGGCAAGCGUUGUCCGGAAUUAUUGGGCGUAAAGCGCGCGCAGGCGGUUUCUUAAGUCUGAUGUGAAAGCCCACGGCUUAACCGUGGAAGGUCAUUGGAAACUGGGAAACUUGAGUGCAGAAGAGAAGAGCGGAAUUCCACGUGUAGCGGUGAAAUGCGUAGAGAUGUGGAGGAACACCAGUGGCGAAGGCGGCUCUUUGGUCUGUAACUGACGCUGAGGCGCGAAAGCGUGGGGAUCAAACAGG
rnacentral:rRNA from 1 species